AAUUAGAGUUUGAUCCUGGCUCAGGACGAACGCUGGCGGCGUGUCUAAGGCAUGCAAGUCGAACGCUCAGUACCGCAAGGUAUUGAGAGUGGCAAACGGGAGAGUAACACCUUGGUAACCUACCCCUAAGAUGGGCAUAACUUUGCGAAAGCGAGGCUAAUUCCCAAUAAGUUUCAUUGACGCAGGUCAGUGAAAUAAAGUUCAGGCGCUUAGGGAUGGGCCUAGGUUCCAUCAGCUUGUUGGUGAGGUAAAAGCUCACCAAGGCGACGACGGAUAGCGGGUGUGAGAGCACGACCCGCCUCACUGGGACUGAGAUACUGCCCAGACUCCUACGGGAGGCUGCAGUCAAGAAUAUUCCUCAAUGCCCGAAAGGGUGAAGGAGCGACGCCGCGUGCAGGAAGACGCCCCUCGGGGUGUAAACUGCUUUUCUAUAGGACGAAUUUGUGACGGUACUAUAGGAAUAAGGGGCCGCUAACCUCGUGCCAGCAGCGGCGGUAAUACGAGGGCCCCAAGCGUUGUCCGGAUUUACUGGGCGUAAAGCGUCUACAGGCGGUUAGAAAAGUUUCCAGUCAAACCUUCAGGCUUAACUUGGAGUUCGCCGGAAAUACUUUCUAACUAGAGGACGGAAGAGGCUAGCGGAAUAGUCGGUGGAGUAGUAAAAUGCGUUGAUAUCGACUAGAACACCAAAUGCGAAGGCAGCUAGCUGGUACGUUCCUGACGCUUACUGGACGAAAGCGUGGGUAGCGAAUGGGAUUAGAUACCCCAGUAGUCCACGCCCUAAACUAUGAAUGCUGAUCAUUGGGAGUAUCGACCCUCUCAGUGGUGUCAACCUAAGCUAACGCGUUAAGCAUUCCGCCUGGGGAGUACGGUCGCAAGACUAAAACUCAAAGGAAUUGACGGGAGCCCGCACAAGCGGUGGAGCAUGUGGUUCAAUUCGAUGAUAAGCGGGGAACCUUACCAGGGCUUGACAUCUCGAGAAUUUCGCCGAAAGGUGAAAGUGCCAGCAAUGGAGCUCGAAGACAGGUGCUGCAUGGUUGUCGUCAGCUCGUGUCGUGAGAUGUAGGGUUAAGUCCUCUAACGAGCGCAACCCCUACCCUAUGUUGUAUGUUCAUAGGGAACUGCCUCGGUCAACGAGGAGGAAGGCGGGGAUGACGUCAAAUCAGCAUGGCUCUUACGCCCUGGGCUACACACGUGCUACAAUGGCCGGUACAAUGGGUUGCAAAAUCGCAAGAUGAAGCUAAUCCCAUCAAAGCCGGUCCCAGUUCGGAUUGAGGUCUGCAAUUCGACCUCAUGAAGCCGGAAUCGCUAGUAACCGCGAAUCAGCCACGUCGCGGUGAAUACGUUCUCGGGCUUUGUACACACCGCCCGUCACGUCAAGAGAGUCGGUAAUACCCGAAAGCUGUGCCAGUCACGGAAUAAGGUAGGAUCGAUAAUAGGGACGAAGUCGUAACAAGGCAUCCGUAGCGGAAGCUGUGGAUGGAUCACCUCCUUUCUA
rnacentral:rRNA from 1 species